rnacentral:rRNA from 1 species
AUUGAACGCUGGCGGCAGGCCUAACACAUGCAAGUCGAACGAGUGGCGGACGGGUGAGUAAUGUCUGGGAAACUGCCUGAUGGAGGGGGAUAACUACUGGAAACGGUAGCUAAUACCGCAUACCAUCGGAUGUGCCCAGAUGGGAUUAGCUAGUAGGUGGGGUAAAGGCUCACCUAGGCGACGGUCCCUAGCUGGUCUGAGAGGAUGACCAGCCACACUGGAAAUGGGACACGGGCCCGAAUCCUACGGGAGGCAAGCGUGGGGAAUAUUGCAAAAUGGGCGCAAAGCCGAUGCAGCCAUGCCGGGUUUAAUAAGAAGGCCUUCGGGUUGUAAAGUACUUUCAGCGGGGAGGCGUUACCCGCAGAAGAAGCACCGGCUAACUCCGUGCCAGCCGCCGCGGUAAUUC